rnacentral:rRNA from 1 species
AACGAACGCUGGCGGCAUGCCUAACACAUGCAAGUCGAACGAGACCUUCGGGACUAGUGGCGCAUGGGUGCGUAACGCGUGGGAACCUGCCCUUAGGUUUGGAAUAACUCUCCGAAAGGGGUGCUAAUACCGGAUAAUGUCUUCUGACCAAAGAUUUAUCGACCUUGGUUGGGCCGGCGUUGGAUUAGCUGGUUGGUAGGGUAAGAGCCUAUCACGGCGAAGAUCCAUAGCUGGGUAGAGAGGAAGGGCAGCCACACUGGGACUGGGACGCGGCCCAGACUCUUACGGAAUGGGGGAAUGGGGAAUAUAGGAAAAUCGGGGGAGUCAUGAAGGACCAAUGCUGGGUGAGUGAUGAUGUCCUGAGAGUUGUAAAGCUCUUUUAACCGGGAUGGUAAUGACGGUACCGGAAGAAUAAGCACCGGCUAACUCCGUG